AACGAACGCUGGCGGCAGGCCUAACACAUGCAAGUCGAACGAAACCUUCGGGUUUAGUGGCGCACGGGUGCGUAACACGUGGGAAUAUACUCUUGAGUAAGGAAUAAUGUCUGGAAACGGACACUAAUACCUUAUAAUGACUCCGGUCCAAAGAUUUAUCGCUCAAGGAUUAGCCCGCGCCUGAUUAGUUUGUUGGUGAGGUAAUGGCUCACCAAGACUACGAUCAGUAGGGGGUCUGAGAGGAUGAUCCCCCACACUGGGACUGAGACACGGCCCAG
rnacentral:rRNA from 1 species